CCUACGGGAGACAGCAGUGAGGAAUAUUGGUCAAUGGACGAGAGUCUGAACCAGCCAAGUAGCGUGAAGGAUGACUGCCCUAUGGGUUGUAAACUUCUUUUAUAUGGGAAUAAAAUGUUCCACGUGUGGGAUUUUGUAUGUACCAUAUGAAUAAGGAUCGGCUAACUCCGUGCCAGCAGCCGCGGUAAUACGGAGGAUCCGAGCGUUAUCCGGAUUUAUUGGGUUUAAAGGGAGCGUAGGUGGAUUGUUAAGUCAGUUGUGAAAGUUUGCGGCUCAACCGUAAAAUCGCAGUUGAAACUGGCAGUCUUGAGUACAGUAGAGGUGGGCGGAAUUCGUGGUGUAGCGGUGAAAUGCUUAGAUAUCACGAAGAACUCCGAUUGCGAAGGCAGUUCACUGGACUGCAACUGACACUGAGGCUCGAAAGUGUGGGUAUCAAACAGGAUUAGAUACCCCUGUAGUC
rnacentral:rRNA from 1 species